AUUGAACGCUGGCGGCAGGCCUAACACAUGCAAGUCGAGCGGAUGACGGGAGCUUGCUCCUUGAUUCAGCGGCGGACGGGUGAGUAAUGCCUAGGAAUCUGCCUGGUAGUGGGGGACAACGUUUCGAAGGGAACGCUAAUACCGCAUACGUCCUACGGGAGAAAGCAGGGGACCUUCGGGCCUUGCGCUAUCAGAGGAGCCUGGGGCGGAUUACCUAGUAGGUGGGGUAAUGGCUCACCUAGGCGACGAUCCGUAACUGGUCUGAGAGGAUGAUCAGUCACACUGGAACUGAGACACGGUCCAGACUCCUACGGGAGGCAGCAGUGGGGAAUAUUGGACAAUGGGCGAAAGCCUGAUCCAGCCAUGCCGCGUGUGUGAAGAAGGUCUUCGGAUUGUAAAGCACUUUAAGUUGGGAGGAAGGGCAGUAAGUUAAUACCUUGCUGUUUUGACGUUACCGACAGAAUAAGCACCGGCUAACUCUGUGCCAGCCGCCGCCGUAAGAC
rnacentral:rRNA from 1 species